GAUGAACGCUGGCGGCGUGCUUAACACAUGCAAGUCGAACGAAGCACUUUAUUUGAUUUCCUUCGGGACUGAUUAUUUUGUGACUGAGUGGCGGACGGGUGAGUAACGCGUGGGUAACCUGCCUUGUACAGGGGGAUAACAGUUGGAAACGGCUGCUAAUACCGCAUAAGCGCCCAGCAUCGCAUGAUGCAGUGUGAAAAACUCCGGUGGUAUAAGAUGGACCCGCGUUGGAUUAGCUAGUUGGUGAGGUAACGGCCCACCAAGGCGACGAUCCAUAGCCGACCUGAGAGGGUGACCGGACACAUUGGGACUGAGACACGGCCCAAACUCCUACGGGAGGCAGCAGUGGGGAAUAUUGCACAAUGGGCGAAAGCAUGAUGCAGCGACGACGCGUGAGCGAAGAAGUAUUUCGGUAUGUAAAGCUCUAUCAGCAGGGAAGAUAAUGACGGUACCUGACUAAGAAGCACCGGCUAAAUACGUG
rnacentral:rRNA from 1 species